UGAUCCCUCGGCGCCAGCGGUCCUCGUGGCCUGCUAGGCCUGGCCGCCAUACAUUCGCUCGCCAAAAGCUCCCAAACCCCCGACCAGCAUAACCCCUUUGGGCGUUCCAACGCGGCGCCCCCUA
rnacentral:lncRNA from 1 species